CCUUUCGGGGUCGAUAAAUUAAGCACCAGUUGAGUAGUGGGGGGGGGGGCGUCCAUGUAACCGACUUGCCCCAUCCCUCAAGAUUUCAGGCCAUAUGCCUAUAGCAGAAAGGAUUAUUAUUAUCAUUAUUAUUAUUUUUAUUUUUAUUAUUAUUAUUAUCAUUAUUAUUAUUAUUAUUAUUUUAUUAUUAUUAUUAUUCCUUUCAAAAAAAU